UCUGAAGAACUUGGAGUCUGCUGUGUCUCCUGACUCUCCACAGUUGGCAGGGAAAACCGGACCGUUCACCCUGAGAGAUGAACACAGGAGCAGUGUGCGUGUGCCGGUGAGGCUGCUGUGCAGGAGCAGAGCAUGAAGCUGUUGGGGGAAGACAAGUGUGUCUGGACAGAGAGAGUCCCUGCAGAACGUCAGCUCCUCCAGAAAGGACAGCGUCGUUGUAUGGACACGCCUGUGACCUCCUCGCUCCCCUCAGGAACGCUGACUCUGCUGUGUCGGAGACUCCAGUCCUGUGCUUGUUGGAUGUUCACGCGACACAAACCGCCUGUCCUGGAG